rnacentral:rRNA from 1 species
AAAGAAACCAACAGGGAUUGCCUCAGUAACGGCGAGUGAAGCGGCAACAGCUCAAAUUUGAAAUCUGGCCCUAGGCCCGAGUUGUAAUUUGCAGAGGAUGCUUUUGGUGAGGUACCUUCCGAGUCCCUUGGAACAGGGCGCCAUAGAGGGUGAGAGCCCCGUCUGGUUGGAUACCGAACCUCUGUAAAGCUCCUUCGACGAGUCGAGUAGUUUGGGAAUGCUGCUCUAAAUGGGAGGUAUAUGUCUUCUAAAGCUAAAUACCGGCCAGAGACCGAUAGCGCACAAGUAGAGUGAUCGAAAGAUGAAAAGCACUUUGGAAAGAGAGUUAAACAGCACGUGAAAUUGUUGAAAGGGAAGCGUUUACGACCAGACUUAGGCCCGGUUGAUCAACUAGCGUUCUCGCUGGUGCACUCUGCCGGCCUAGGCCAGCAUCAGUUCGCCCCGGGGGAUAAAGGCGUCGGGAAUGUAGCUCCCUCGGGAGUGUUAUAGCCCUUCGUGCAAUACCCUGAGGUGGACUGAGGUUCGCGCUCUGCAAGGA